rnacentral:rRNA from 1 species
GACGAACGCUGGCGGCGUGCUUAACACAUGCAAGUCGAACGGACAGGCCCUGCUUUUGUUGGUUUCUCGUUUGCCGAACGGGUGAGUAUCACGUGUGUAUCCUCCCCUUGUCUUUGGGAUAACUUUAGGAAACUCGGGCUCAUACCCGAUAUGAUCUCCUGCUCCAUGGUGGGCGUUGGAAAGUUUCGGCUGUUGUGGAUGGACUCGCUGCUUAUCAGCUUGUUGGUGGGGUAGUUGCUUACCAAGGCUUUGACGGGUAGCCGGCCUGAGAGGGGAACCGGCGACAAUGGGACUAAGAGAGGGCCCAGAAGGGAACGGGAGGCAACAGGGGAGAGUAUGACACAAUGGGCGGAAGUGUGAGGCAGAAACGCCGCGAGCGGGAUGACGGCUUACGAGUGGUAAACAGAUGUGGAAGGUGACGAAGAGGGAGUGACGGUAAUGGGUAAAGAAGCAACGGCUAACUACGUG